rnacentral:rRNA from 1 species
AGUGGGGAAUAUUGCACAAUGGGCGCAAGCCUGAUGCAGCCAUGCCGCGUGUAUGAAGAAGGCCUUCGGGUUGUAAAGUACUUUCAGCAGUGAGGAAGGCGGAGUCGUUAAUAGCGGCCUCGUUUGACGUUAGCUGCAGAAGAAGCACCGGCUAACUCCGUGCCAGCAGCCGCGGUAAUACGGAGGGUGCGAGCGUUAAUCGGAAUUACUGGGCGUAAAGCGCAUGCAGGUGGUUUGUUAAGUCAGAUGUGAAAGCCCGGGGCUCAACCUCGGAAUUGCAUUUGAAACUGGCAGACUAGAGUACUGUAGAGGGGGGUAGAAUUUCAGGUGUAGCGGUGAAAUGCGUAGAGAUCUGAAGGAANACCGGUGGCGAAGGCGGCCCCCUGGACAGAUACUGACACUCAGAUGCGAAAGCGUGGGGAGCAAACAGGAUUAGA